UACUGUUUUGAGCUCACGAUUUUAAUUUAUAGUUUUUGUAUUUUUAUUCAGGGAAGGACUGCUAAAGCUCUGAGGUCACUACAGUUUACAAACCCAGGAAAGCAAACUGAAUUUGCUCCAGAAAGUGGUAAAAGGGAGAAAAGGAAGCUCACCAAAAAUGCAAGCGCUAGUUCUGACAGACAAAUUAUUCCAGCAAAGAGUAAGGUGUAUGACAGCCAGGGCCUGCUGAUAUUCAGCGGCAUGGACCUCUGCGACUGCCUGGACGAGGACUGCUUGGGAUGCUUCUACGCCUGCCCCACCUGUGGCUCCACCAAAUGUGGGGCGGAGUGCCGCUGCGACCGCAAGUGGCUGUAUGAGCAGAUAGAGAUUGAAGGAGGCGAGAUAAUCCAUAAUAAACACGCUGGGUAAUUGAUAGUGUC
rnacentral:lncRNA from 1 species